ACGGGAGGCAGCAGUAGGGAAUUUUCGGCAAUGGACGAAAGCCUGACCGAGCAACGCCGCGUGAACGAAGAAGUAUUUCGGUAUGUAAAGUUCUUUUAUUAGGGAAGAAAAGACAGAUUGACUGUACCUAAUGAAUAAGCUCCGGCUAACUACGUGCCAGCAGCCGCGGUAAUACGUAGGGAGCGAGCGUUAUCCGGAAUUAUUGGGCGUAAAGGGUGCGCAGAUGGCACAUUAAGUUUCUUGUUAAAAUGCGGGGCUCAACCCCGUAUCGCAAGAGAUACUGAUGAGCUAGAGUACGACAGAGGCAAGUGGAACUCCAUGUGUAGCGGUAAAAUGCGUAAAUAUAUGGAAGAACACCAGUGGCGAAGGCGGCUUGCUAGGUCGAUACUGACAUUGAGGCACGAAAGCGUGGGGAGCAAACAGGAUUAGAUACCCUGGUA
rnacentral:rRNA from 1 species